GAUGAACGCUAGCUACAGGCUUAACACAUGCAAGUCGAGGGGAAACGACAUCGAAAGCUUGCUUUUGAUGGGCGUCGACCGGCGCACGGGUGAGUAACGCGUAUCCAACCUGCCCAUCACUUGGGGAUAACCUUGCGAAAGUAAGACUAAUACCCAAUGAUAUCUCUAGAAGACAUCUGAAAGAGAUUAAAGAUUUAUCGGUGAUGGAUGGGGAUGCGUCUGAUUAGCUUGUUGGCGGGGUAACGGCCCACCAAGGCAACGAUCAGUAGGGGUUCUGAGAGGAAGGUCCCCCACAUUGGAACUGAGACACGGUCCAAACUCCUACGGGAGGAAGCAGUGAGGAAUAUGGGUCAAGGGGCGAGAGCCUGAACCAGCCAAGUAGCGUGCAGGAAGACGGCCCUAUGGGUUGUAAACUGCUUUUAUAAGGGAAUAAAGUGAGAGUCGUGACUCUUUUUGUAUGUACCUUAUGAAUAAGGACCGGCUAAUUCCGUG
rnacentral:rRNA from 1 species